AGCGAACGCUGGCGGCGUGCCUAACACAUGCAAGUCGAACGUGAAAAGGGAAACCUGAGUACAGUGGCGUACGGGUGAGUAACGCGUAGGUAAUCUACCCCAGAAUCUGGAAUAACCUGCCGAAAGUCGGGCUAAUACUGGAUAGAGCGAGGGAACUCGUAAGAGAGUUUUUCGGGAAAGGGAGCCCGCAAGGGCCUUCGUUCUGGGAUGAGCCUGCGUCUCAUUAGCUAGUUGGUAAGGUAACGGCUUACCAAGGCGAUGAUGAGUAGCUGGUCUGAGAGGAUGAUCAGCCACACUGGAACUGAAACACGGUCCAGACUCCUACGGGAGGCAGCAGUGGGGAAUCUUGCGCAAUGGACGAAAGUCUGACGCAGCCACGCCGCGUGAGUGAAGAAGGCCUUCGGGUUGUAAAGCUCUGUCGGAUGGGACGAGCAUCUUCAUAGUGAAUAGCUAUGAGGACUGACGGUACCAUCAAAGGAAGCACCGGCUAACUCCGUG
rnacentral:rRNA from 1 species